CUAAGGUAGCAUAGUCAUUUGUUAUUUAAUUGGUAACUGGAAUGAAAGGUUAAACUAGCUUAUUAAGUUUGUAAGGCUAAAUAGAAAUUUAAAGUUAAGGUAAGAAUUCUUUAAUUGUUUAGGGGACGAUAAGACCCUAGAAGCUUAACAAAUAGAGUGUUGGUUUUAGAAGCUAGUUUGUUUUACUGGGGCGGUAAAAAUAAUUAAGCUAUUUAUUGUCUAUAUGAUCCUUAAAAUAAAGAAAAAGUGGAAAAGUUACUUUAGGGAUAA
rnacentral:rRNA from 1 species